rnacentral:rRNA from 1 species
AUUGAACGCUGGCGGCAGGCCUAACACAUGCAAGUCGAACGGUAACAGGAAACAGCUUGCUGUUUCGCUGACGAGUGGCGGACGGGUGAGUAAUGUCUGGGAAACUGCCUGAUGGAGGGGGAUAACUACUGGAAACGGUAGCUAAUACCGCAUAACGGCGCAAGACCAAAGAGGGGGACCUUCGGGCCUCUUGCCAGCGGAUGUGCCCAGAUGGGAUUAGCUAGUAGGUGGGGUAACGGCUCACCUAGGCGACGAUCCCUAGCUGGUCUGAGAGGAUGACCAGCCACACUGGAACUGAGACACGGUCCAGACUCCUACGGGAGGCAGCAGUGGGGAAUAUUGCACAAUGGGCGCAAGCCUGAUGCAGCCAUGCCGCGUGUAUGAAGAAGGCCUUCGGGUUGUAAAGUACUUUCAGCGGGGAGGAAGGGAGUAAAGUUAAUACCUUGGCUCAUUGACGUUACCCGCAGAAGAAGCACCGGCUAACUCCGUG